rnacentral:rRNA from 1 species
UGACCUCGGAUCAGUAGUGCCCGC